rnacentral:tRNA from 1 species
GGGGACUUGGCUCAGUGGUAGAGCGCUUGCCUAGCAAGCGCAAGGCCCUGGGUUCAGUCCCCA